GAUCAUGGCUCAGGAUGAACGCUGGCGGCGUGCUUAACACAUGCAAGUCGAACGAAGCACUUCAUAGAGUUUACUUUAAGAAGUGACUUAGUGGCGGACGGGUGAGUAACGCGUGGGUAACCUGCCUUACACAGGGGGAUAACAGUUAGAAAUGACUGCUAAUACCGCAUAAAACAGCAGAGUCGCAUGACUCAACUGUCAGAGAUUUAUCGGUGUAAGAUGGACCCGCGU
rnacentral:rRNA from 1 species